AGGAUUAACGCUGGCGGCGUGCCUAACACAUGCAAGUCGAACGAGGUAGCAAUACCUAGUGGCAGACGGGUGAGUAGCGCGUGGUCAACCUACCGUUGAGUGGGGGAUAACUAGCCGAAAGGUUAGCUAAUACCGCAUACGUCUCCGAGGGGCAUCCCUUGGCGAUAAAAGGAGCAAUCCGCUCGAUGACGGGACCGCGUCCCAUUAGCUAGUUGGUGGGGUAACGGCCUACCAAGGCGUCGAUGGGUAGCUGGUUUGAGAGAGCGACCAGCCACACUGGGACUGAGAUACGGCCCAGACUCCUACGGGAGGCAGCAGUGAGGAAUUUUCCGCAAUGGGCGAAAGCCUGACGGAGCGACGCCGCGUGUGGGAAGAAGGCCUUCGGGUCGUAAACCACUGUCGAAGGGGAAGAUAAUGACGGUACCCUUGGAGGAAGCCCGGCUAACUACGCGCCAGCAGCCGC
rnacentral:rRNA from 1 species